UAGACACUCCAGGGUAUCUCAUAUGGUGCAUAUUGUGCCUUAACAUGCCCCCAUUUUUUCACCAAUAUAUGCCAAAGUAUGUGUUAAAAAAUAAUUUUGGGCAUUUUUUAUGUACGGAUCACAUUUUUGCUGGGCAUUUUGUACAUUUCAUAUGUGCCACUAAGUUCAAACCCCCCAAAUUAUGUUCAGCUAAGUCUUCUGAGUAAAACAAUAUGCCCAAUGUAUGACCUAGACACUAUUAUGUGAAGUUACAGUGCUGUAAAAGAGACGUGACAAGUUAAGGUUUUUAAGUGUGAAUUUUCAUGGAGGGUUUUGAUGCGUCCGUGUCCCACUUUGGGGCACUUGAGCAGGCUACAUAUUACAACUACACCAUAAAGGCAUAC